AUGGGCUACUCGCUACUGGUGUGGCCGAUAGAAUGGUACGCCCCUACCGCCUCGUUCCGCACACCUCCCUCCUCCUCUCUCAUAAAAUCGGGAGACCUUUCCCUCCCUCCCUCCCUCCAUCGUCUCCUCUCGUCCUACUCACACUCCACCUCCCCUCUCUCCCUCCCUCCCUCGCCGCGCCGUGCUCCCUCCACUCCACUCCCAUCGCCCCAGGGCGCACACGGGAUCGCGCGCAGAUCUGUGCCCCCCAUCCCACGCGCUCGCCUCCCACUCCCCGCCUCCCCGCGGCGGCCUGCCUGGCUUAAUUUCGCCACCAAUGCGCUCUGGGUAGGGCAUGAGAGACACUGGCGGCGGCUUGCCGGCGGACCAAUUCACAUCCGGAUGGAGCUCAGCGUCGCCGCCGCAGCCGUGGAGCUCGGCAAGCGGGGCCGCCCCGAGGACCAGGACCACGACCAGGAGCAGGACCACGGGGAUGCCAAGCGGCUGGCGCUCGUGCCGUGGCCGCCGCACCAGCAGCACCCCUCCUCGCGGAUCUACCGCGUCUCGCGCGGCUCUGGCGGCAAGGACCGCCACAGCAAGGUCUACACGGCCAAGGGCAUCCGCGACCGCCGCGUCCGCCUCUCCGUCGCCACCGCCAUCCAGUUCUACGACCUGCAGGAUCGCCUUGGCUACGACCAGCCCAGCAAGGCCGUCGAGUGGCUCAUCAAGGCCGCCGCCGCCGCAAUCGACAAGCUCCCCGAGCUCGACGCCGCCGCCUUCCCCAACCACCCGGCCUCAGCCUCAGCCAACAAACAGUCUUCUGCUCUUCACGCGGAGGCCGACGGCUCGCAGCUCCAGCAGCAGCAGCUCACCAGAUCGGGCUGCAGCAGCACGUCCGAGACCAGCAAGGGCUCCGUCCUCUCGCUCUCUCGCUCCGACAGCCGCGUCAAGGCCAGGGAGCGCGCGCGCGACCGUAGCGCCUCUGUGAAGGACAAGGACGACUCGGUCACCGCCGCCGUGCGCCGCCGCGCCCCCUCGGCGCAGGCGGCUUCCUUCACCGAGCUGCUCACUGGAUUGGCGGCCGCCACCCCAGCUGUUGCUCAGCACAAGCAGCACAACUCGUGGCAGCAGAUGACCGCGUCUGCCACCGCGGACUACCUCGGCUUCUCCCAGCCAAGGAAAUCCGGGCACGGGAUGCUGCACACCUUCGCCUCCCCGGCCCCGCACCUGGGCAACAUUGUGCCCGUCGCCAUGGCCCCGGCGCAGCACUUCAGCUUAUCAGCCGGCGGCGGCGAUUCGCAGACGGACAUGCCGCACUUCUCCUUCUCGCAAGACCACUACAUGCCCGUCCAUGCGGCGCCAGCGUCGGCUCCGGCAGUAGACUACAGUCUCAACUUCUCCAUGUGCUCGGGUCUUGUGGGUGUCAACAACACUAGGGGGACCCUUCAGUCCAAUUCGCAGCCGCACCUCUCCGGCCACCACCACCACCAGCAGCAGCUCCAGAGGCUGUCUACUCCACUGGAUGCUCCGCACAUACCCUUCUUGUUCAGCCCAGCCGUCGCGGUGGCCUCCCCCACCACAGCGGAGAGCCACUUCGGCGCGGCGGCCGCAUUGCAGCUCUGGGAGGGGUUCCGGCACUCCGACAUGAAGGAGAAGGGCAAGAACUGA
rnacentral:rRNA from 1 species